UACGGAGGAUGCAAGCGUUAUCCGGAAUGAUUGGGCGUAAAGCGUCCGCAGGUGGCUGUGUAAGUCUGCUGUCAAAGAGCAAAGCUCAACUUUGUAAAGGCAGUGGAAACUACACGGCUAGAGUGCGUUCGGGGCAGAGGGAAUUCCUGGUGUAGCGGUGAAAUGCGUAGAGAUCCGGAAGAACACCGGUGGCGAAGGCGGUCUGCUGGGCAGUAGCUGACACUGAUGCGCGACAGCGUGGGGAGCAAACAGG
rnacentral:rRNA from 1 species